rnacentral:rRNA from 1 species
GGGCCCGCACAAGCGGUGGAGCAUGUGGUUUAAUUCGAUGAUACGCGAGGAACCUUACCAGGGCUUAAAUGUAAGUUGCAUAAGCUAGAGAUAGCUUUUUCUUCGGACUACUUACAAGGUGCUGCAUGGUUGUCGUCAGCUCGUGCCGUGAGGUGUCAGGUUAAGUCCUAUAACGAGCGCAACCCCUGUUGUUAGUUGCCAUCGAGUAAUGUCGGGAACUCUAACAAGACUGCCGGUGCAAACCGUGAGGAAGGUGGGGAUGACGUCAAAUCAUCACGGCCCUUACGUCCUGGCUACACACGUGCUACAAUGGCCGGUACAGAGAGCAGCCACUACGCGAGUAGGAGCGAA